rnacentral:rRNA from 1 species
AGAGUUUGAUCCUGGCUCAGGACGAACGCUGGCGGCGUGCUUAACACAUGCAAGUCGAACGGAAAGGCCCUUCGGGGUACUCGAGUGGCGAACGGGUGAGUAACACGUGGGUGAUCUGCCCUGCACUUUGGGAUAAGCCUGGGAAACUGGGUCUAAUACCGAAUAUGACCAUGCACUUCCUGGUGUGUGGUGGAAAGCUUUUGCGGUGUGGGAUGGGCCCGCGGCCUAUCAGCUUGUUGGUGGGGUAAUGGCCUACCAAGGCGACGACGGGUAGCCGGCCUGAGAGGGUGACCGGCCACACUGGGACUGAGAUACGGCCCAGACUCCUACGGGAGGCAGCAGUGGGGAAUAUUGCACAAUGGGCGCAAGCCUGAUGCAGCGACGCCGCGUGAGGGAUGACGGCCUUCGGGUUGUAAACCUCUUUCAGCACAGACGAAGCGCAAGUGACGGUAUGUGCAGAAGAAGGACCGGCCAACUACGUGCCAGCAGCCGCGGUAAUACGUAGGGUCCGAGCGUUGUCCGGAAUUACUGGGCGUAAAGAGCUCGUAGGUGGUUUGUCGCGUUGUUCGUGAAAACUCACAGCUUAACUGUGGGCGUGCGGGCGAUACGGGCAGACUUGAGUACCGCAGGGGAGACUGGAAUUCCUGGUGUAGCGGUGGAAUGCGCAGAUAUCAGGAGGAACACCGGUGGCGAAGGCGGGUCUCUGGGCAGUAACUGACGCUGAGGAGCGAAAGCGUGGGGAGCGAACAGGAUUAGAUACCCUGGUAGUCC